CCAGCAGCCGCGGUAAUUCCAGCUCCAAAAGCGUAUAUUAAAGUUGUUGCAGUUAAAAAGCUCGUAGUUGAAAUUGAGGAAAUGAGUGGAUUGAAGUGCCUAGUGUAUUUCAUGUCUAUUCGUCCUUCAUCGUCGUGAAUAUUAGUGGGGUUCUUUAUUGAGUCUCGCUAGUAACCGACAAGUUUACUUUGAAAAAAUUAGAGUGCUUAAAGCAGGCUUUCGCUUGUAUAUUGUUGCAUGGAAUAAUGAAAUAGGACUUCGGUUUUAUUUUGUUGGUUUUC
rnacentral:rRNA from 1 species